UGGAAGAAGUGACCAUCGGAAUAGUUCUCGUGUAGAGGUGGAAGAACUCUUAGCAUAUUCACAGGGUUAUGGCGGGCUAUGCUAGUACUAAAGCAGGUGUAAGAUCACAUUCAAUAAUUGAGGUACACUUUCAUGUCUGCCUAAAGGAAUGCAUAUUUUUAUUUUCAUACUAGAUCGUUAAAACCUGACAAGUUUUUUGGAUGCUGAGUCACGCUCUGUUAUCUUUUUCAUGGUAUUGUAGAUGUGCAGUAACAUUUGAUAAAUGAUCUAAUAUCCCGCCUUGUGAGGCAGCAAGCAGUUCUUCUGAUCAAGCAAAUAGGAGUGCAGGAAUACUUUUUGUAGAGUGAGAAGAAAAAAUGUAUUACUCCCAAAAAUAAUGAUGUGCAUAGUUCUUUUCUGUUUUCAAGGUGGAAAAGGAUGGAUGAACUCUGAAUUCAUACUCAUUAUAGUGAUACAGAAUGAUACUACUGUGUUUUUCAGAGA